rnacentral:rRNA from 1 species
AUUGAACGCUGGCGGCAGGCCUAACACAUGCAAGUCGAGCGAGCGGCGGACGGGUGAGUAAUGUCUGGGAAACUGCCUGAUGGAGGGGGAUAACUACUGGAAACGGUAGCUAAUACCGCAUACCAUCAGAUGUGCCCCGAUGGGAGUAGCUAGUAGGUGGGGUAACGGCUCACCUAGGCGACGCUCCCUAGCUGGUCUGAGAGGAUGACCAGCCACACUGGAACUGAGACACGGUCCAGACUCCUACGGGAGGCAGCAGUGGGUAAUAUUGAACAAUGGGCGCAAGCCGGAUGCAGCCAUGCCGCGUGCGUGAAGAAGGCCUUCGGGUUGUAAAGCACUUUCAGCGGGGAGGCGUUACCCGCAGAAGAAGCACCGGCUAACACCGAGCCAGCAGCCGCGGUAAUUC